AGAAUUGUAGCUCAGCCAUAGAGCACCUGCCUAACAAACAUGAGGCCCUGGGCUCAAUCCCCUGCACUACCA
rnacentral:tRNA from 1 species